GCCAGUGUGGCGUAUUGGUUUGAGCACUAGACUGUGAUGCUGGAGAUCAUGGUUUGAAUCCCAGCUCAGCCA